UUUAUGGUCUUGCUCGUGAUCUACCACGCAGCCCAAGAAGGUAUACAGCAGAGAAUUCUGUGAAGUUUGGGGCUCCUCGGGAUACGGAUCACCCUGAACUAAGACAGCCACUAGCCAUGGAAGUUUGGGAGUCUAUAUUG